GAUUUUUAUGGCGCUUUCCCGGUAACAGUUAACUUCUCGGCUGGGUAACAGAACGUACAUUGAUGAAAGACGGGCGCCCCCUUUUCGCCAGUUCACAAGUUUGAAUUUACCUGCUUGGGCUGGCCUGCCCUGGGAUCGCUCCCAGCCGAAGCCUCCUCUGGUCCGCUCCCCGCAGCUCCUUCCGUGCUUUGCUCCGAAGCCUCUACCGGUCCGCUCUCCGCGGCUCCUUCCGGGCUUCGCUCCAAAGCCUCUACCGGUCCGCUCUCCGCGGCUCCUUCCGGGCUUCUACUUCCCCCCAGGGGUGGCACCAGUAUAUAUACGGAUACAGUGUCCAAUCAUAUUAAAGUAAGCAAGGCAAGCUGAUUGGCUAACAUAUUAUUGAGCGGGUUGUUUACGCGGUAAGCAGGAAACUAACGUGCUCGAUGGGAGGGGUAAUCUAACUCAGGCUUUGCUCUUUACCACAGGCCGCAUGAUCGCUAUAUGCGGUGGCUCGGCAAUGUGGUGGCUCCCAACAUCUCCCCCUUUUUUAUUUUAAAUAAGUCUACGCAUCGCAGCCCGUCCUGAAUUGAGUGUAGAGGCCUAUGCCCUGAUAGGAGGGCCACCAAGGGCUCUCGGCGUCGGCCCGGGUCGGCCGUCCCCGAGUCUGCCGAGGCCCCGAGGCCCUCGUCCUUUUUCCAGGCCCAGGAAGGAACCGGACGGAACCUGGAUGCACACAGGCAUACACUCAUGUCGCUCCGCAUGAUCCCCCCGGGGCGACAUUUGGUUUGGGCGGAACCUAGUAAUUCAGCGGCUUUCGUGCGGUAUGGGGUAGGGCCUGUCUUAGGUUGAGUCAUGCUGGGGAGGCAUGCUCUUACCCGUCAUUGACUCAUCUACCCUGCUAUAUCAUAAUUUUUUAGAGGAGGAGUGUGGGAAGCUCAC